AACUCUUUGACAUAUAAAACUCAUUUAGUCAAUACGUAGAUCACGUUUGUAUACAUCUAAAAUACAAUAUUUAAGCCUUAUUUUUCUAGCUACAUUUAGAUUUAAUCGUAAUAACAGAUGUUAUUAGUAUGGUUGGCUACAGUAAAAAAAAAAAACAGGCAAGCUUGUAUUUACACCUCGUGUACUGAAAUAUAAGGUACAAACCAUAAAUUAUUUUUAUAAGUACGCAGUAAUAAUUCAAAAUAAGCAAAAUAUAUUAUAGCUUCAAAGCGAGGCUAUUGAUUUUACAAUAAUGUGGGCUUUUUUUUGCUGUUAUAAAUACUUAAAACUAACAAAUGUUCAGUGCUCUUCCUGAUUUUUAAUUGUCUAGUUGUUUCUUAGUGCUGAGGUAUUUCACAGUAGAUAAACGAAAAAAUGAUUUGGAAAAUUAUACUUUUGUUGUCGUCUUAUAAUGUUUUAGUGAACGCUAGUGGAAGUUGUUCGGGUGGGACAUCGGCUGGAGACGUGGAACCUUUUCGAAGUAUUGGAGUAUGGAUAGAUUCACUAAAAGUAAUAACCAUUUCAGAUUGGAAUAAGCUGACCCGUAUCCUUGAGGACCAUGAUUAUCAAAUUGCAAGGGACGCAUUGGUUAAAAGUAGAUGUCCAACUAAUACUUUGGAUGCACUUCUUGCGACCAGUCAUUGGGAUAGGUGGCCUUAUCAUUUAAAAUCAGAUCGGGCACCAUACGUUAACCAAACGAAAAUGCGUCCAUUGACUUUUAGUCGAAUACCAGGCACACGAGUGGUGUACGUGACCCCUUAUCCAACUCUUUAUGUGAAUUCACCAGGACUUCUAUUUAUUUACGACAGCGCUUAACAAAUGGUGGCUUCUGAUUAAAAUCGUAGAGGCAGAAUUAAAUUUCACCGGCUCAAAAAAACAUAAAUUUAAAAAAAUAUAUACUGAUAGUGAAAAAUUUCAAAUAUUUUAAAGAAUAAUUAAGUUUUUGUUGAUUUGUACACGAUUUUGUAAACCUGAUUGUUCACGUACCUAAUACAUAAUACAUAUUACGCUUAUUUAAAACUUUUUUUUGUCUUU